UACAGAGGCCCCAAGCGUUACUGAGAAUCACUGGGUUUAAAGGGUGCGUAGGUGGUCCGUUAAGUCCAUUGUGAAAUCCCCGGGCUCAACCCGGGAACUGCUUUGGAUACUGGCGGACUUGAGGCCGGUAGGGGUCACUGGAACAGACGGUGGAGCGGUGAAAUGCGUAGAUAUCGUCUGGAACGCCGGUGGUGAAGACGGGUGGCUUGGCCGGUUCUGACACUGAGGCACGAAAGCGUGGGGAG
rnacentral:rRNA from 1 species